UAUUGGGCAAUGGGCGCAAGCCUGACCCAGCAACGCCGCGUGAAGGAAGAAGGCUUUCGGGUUGUAAACUUCUUUUGUCAGGGACGAAGAAAGUGACGGUACCUGACGAAUAAGCCACGGCUAACUACGUGCCAGCCGCCGCGGUAAUACGUAGGUGGCAGGCGUUAUCCGGAUUUACUGGGUGUAAAGGGCGUGUAGGGGGGGAAGCAAGGCAGAUGUGAAAACCACGGGCUCAACCUGUGGCCUGCAGUUGAAACGGUUUUUCUUGAGUGCUGGAGAGGCAAUCGGAAUUCCGUGUGUAGCGGUGAAAUGCGUAGAUAUACGGAGGAACACCAGUGGCGAAGGCGGAUUGCUGGACAGUAACUGACGCUGAGGCGCGAAAGCGUGGGGAGCAAACAG
rnacentral:rRNA from 1 species